UCAUAGGAUAGUUAUAUAACACGAAACUGACCUGAUGAGUUAGAUUACAUAGUGCGCACUAUGUAGUGACUUAAACGUGUAUAAAUAAAAGUUGAAACCUAUUAC
rnacentral:sRNA from 12 species